AUUAGGAAGACCCCUUGAAGACGACGAGGUAGAUAGGUUGGAGGUGGAAGUGCAGCAAUGCAUGGAGCUGACCAAUACUAAUCGGUCGAGGGCUUAUCCUA
rnacentral:ncRNA from 1 species